UCAGAGGUGAGGACUGUCUGUCCAUUUCCUGUUAGAAAUAAACUAACAAUAUCUGAGGAAAUGAACUGUUGAACUGGUUUCACUGUAACACCAGAGGCCAACGCCUCGUUUUCUUUUAUUUACAAGCUCGUUGACAACGGAUCAUCUGUUCACGUUCAGCAGCACCUCUGGAACUCCCAGCCAGUAAGGAAACGUUUCUACACGUUCUGGUCCGAGUCCAACGUUGAACACGCCGACCAUGAUCUGCACAGUCUGUGAAACAUUUAAAACAUUUUUCUUUACGGUGUUAUUCUUCAGAAACUCAUUUUUUCAACGCUCCAAGUUCCUCUCACCCCGAGAGCUCCGACCACGCUGCUCCCUUUGCUCCCUGACCGCCAUGAUGGACCGCAGGGAAGAGCCUUGACGAUCUGACGCCAUUGUGCCAACAUGCUCCGAUUGUCCGUUGCUAUGGUAACAGCAGUCACUCCGGUGUCUGUAUCCACUGAGACGGACAUCUUUAUAACCUUUAAGCAAAGGAAAUGUAGAUAUUAAAAGAGGUAGAUAUUCAAAAUGAUAUUCAUUCCCCAGAGAAACGAUGCAGGGAAUCAAACUGGAGCAUCUUAUAUCCACUGUUGAUACUGGAGAAGAAAGAAGGAUUUUACAUAAAAUCUAAGAAAUUAUGAGUGAAGAGCAUCAGAGUGGCAUACAACAACAAACUGUCUUCAGUCAGAGGCAUCUUCAGAGCCGCUGGAAUACCGGCUGCUACAGAAGGUCCUUCAACCAGUAAAGAAAAUUAUUCAUGUUACAACAUUUAGUUUCUCUUUGGGAUCAAUAAAGUAUUUUUGGAUUUGAA